rnacentral:rRNA from 1 species
UAGCCACAAAUAUUAACAAAAAUUUAUAUGCCCCGCGCCUAAUACUAAUGAAGAUAAAAACUAAAAUCAACAUAAGUUUUACACCUAUGCUAGGAUGAGUAUUACCAAUUUUCUACUUCUAUGAGGUAAAUAUUAUUUCUCAUUCUACAUAUAAUUUUAAAAAAACUAAUUAAAUGAAAGGAACUCGGCAAAAUAAUUGCUUCGCCUGUUUACCAAAAACAUGGCUCUUUGAAUUAAAAAAAUAAAGAGUCAAACCUGCCCAGUGAAAUAUUUUUAACGGCCGCGGUACUCUGACCGUGCAAAGGUAGCGUAAUCAUUUGCCUUAUAAUUGAAGGCUAGUAUGAAUGGUUCGACGUGAGCAAUACUGUCUCUCCUUUAUUUCCUAGAAAUUAACUUUUAGGUGAAGAGGCCUAAAUAUAAUUAAAGGACAAGAAGACCCUGUCGAGCUUAAAAGACAAAAUAGAAGUUAAUAUCCUAAGAAAUAAAUAUUCUGUUAAGCUUUUUAGUUGGGGCGACUAAGGAACAAAUAAAGCUUCUUUCUUAAAAGCAAGCUAAUCAGCACAGAUCCAGCACUUACCGCUGAUCAAGAAAAUUAGUUACCGCAGGGAUAACAGCAUAAUCUCUCUUGAGAGACCAAAUCGAGAGAGGGGGUUGUGACCUCGAUGUUGGACUAGAAUAUCCGAAAGAUGCAGACGUCUUUAAAGGUUGGUCUGUUCGACCAUUAAAAUU